GUGGGGAAUAUUGGGCAAUGGGCGAAAGCCUGACCCAGCAACGCCGCGUGAAGGAAGAAGGUUUUCGGAUCGUAAACUUCUAUCCUUGGUGAAGAUAAUGACGGUAGCCAAGAAGGAAGCCCCGGCUAACUACGUGCCAGCAGCCGCGGUAAUACGUAGGGGGCAAGCGUUGUCCGGAAUGAUUGGGCGUAAAGGGCGCGUAGGCGGCCCGGUAAGUCUGAAGUGAAAGUCCUGCUUUUAAGGUGGGAAUUGCUUUGGAUACUGUCGGGCUUGAGUGCAGGAGAGGUAAGCGGAAUUCCCGGUGUAGCGGUGAAAUGCGUAGAGAUCGGGAGGAACACCAGUGGCGAAGGCGGCUUACUGGACUGUAACUGACGCUGAGGCACGAAAGUGUGGGGAGCAAACAGGAUUAGAUACCCUAGUAGUCC
rnacentral:rRNA from 1 species